UAUAUCCUGAAGUGUUCGACAACUCUUGAAUUUUUGAACCUACAAUACUUUAAACGGGAUUCUUAUAUCUGGGGUUGGAUGCCGGGCCGUCACUGCCCAUUACCGGGUAUUAUGGCGACAUAGCAACGGAAGGCAGAAGACACCAUGCGGUUGCCCACCUAGCUUUGUGCUAGGAGUCAAAAAUCAGGAGCCGGCAUUUUGGGUAUAUU
rnacentral:other from 1 species